rnacentral:rRNA from 1 species
AUUGAACGCUGGCGGCAUGCUUUACACAUGCAAGUCGAACGGCAGCACAGGGAGCUUGCUCCUGGGUGGCGAGUGGCGAGCGGGUGAGUAAUGUAUCGGAACGUGCCUGGUAGUGGGGGAUAACUACUCGAAAGAGUGGCUAAUACCGCAUGAGAUCUUUGGAUGAAAGCGGGGGACCUUCGGGCCUCGUGCUACUGGAGCGGCCGAUAUCAGAUUAGGUUGUUGGUGGGGUAAAGGCCUACCAAGCCUGCGAUCUGUAGCUGGUCUGAGAGGACGACCAGCCACACUGGGACUGAGACACGGCCCAGACUCCUACGGGAGGCAGCAGUGGGGAAUUUUGGACAAUGGGCGCAAGCCUGAUCCAGCAAUGCCGCGUGCAGGACGAAGGCCUUCGGGUUGUAAACUGCUUUUGUACAGAACGAAAAGUCUCUGGCUAAUAUCUAGAGAUCAUGACGGUACUGUAAGAAUAAGCACCGGCUAACUACGUG